AACCCAAAUUGGACUGGUACCUUAAAUACCAGUAUGUUUGGUUGAGUGUUAUAAAUUAAUAACCGUUUUUGGUUUUUAAUUAAUAGAGUUUAAUAUUAUUCUUAAUUGGAAUUAUAUUAAAAAAUUGAGAAUCUUAAUACGAUUCUUUAAAUUUAAGCAUAAUAAUUUGAGUAAAUUAAUUUUUAUUUAGAUAAUAUUACGCUAAUAGUUAAAUUCAAUAGUUAUUAAUAAGUUUUAGUAUUAAUUUAUUAUAACUUUUAUUAUUAUUGAGUUUAAUCAAGCUAUUAAGUUUAAAAUAUUAUUGUAAAGUUAUUAUUGUAAAUAAAAUUAAAAAAGUAAGUUUAUUCAAACUUUUUUUUUAUUAAAUUUUAUGCCUCAACUCAAGCAAGAUUACCCGCUGAACUUAA
rnacentral:misc_RNA from 1 species